AGUGAAGCGGGAAAAGCUCAAAUUUGAAAUCUGGCGGUCCUUGGCCGUCCGAGUUGUAAUCUAGAGAAGUGUUACCCGCGCUGGACCAUGUACAAGUCUCCUGGAAUGGAGCGUCAUAGAGGGUGAGAAUCCCGUCUCUGACAUGGACUACCAGGGCUUUGUGGUAUGCUCUCAAAGAGUCGAGUUGUUUGGGAAUGCAGCUCAAAAUGGGUGGUAAAUUCCAUCUAAAGCUAAAUAUUGGCGAGAGACCGAUAGCGAACAAGUUCCGUGAGGGAAAGAUGAAAAGAACUUUGGAAAGAGAGUUAAACAGUACGUGAAAUUGCUGAAAGGGAAACGCUUGAAGUCAGUCUCGUUGGCCGGGGAUCAGCCUCACAAUUUGUGUGGUGUACUUUCUGGUUGAUGGGUCAGCAUCAAUUUUGACUGUUGGAAAAAGGCUUGGGGAAUGUGACAGCUCUGGCUGUGUUAUAGCCCCUUGUCAUAUACAGCAGUUGGGAUUGAGGAACUCAGCACGCCGCAAGGCCGGGUUUCGACCACGUUCGUGCUUAGGAUGCUGGCAUAAUGGCUUUAAGCGACCCGUCUUGAAACACGGACCAAGGAGUCUAACAUGCCUGCGAGUGUUUGGGUGGAAAACCCGAGCGCAUAAUGAAAGUGAAAGUUGAGAUCCCUGUCGUGGGGAGCAUCGACGCCCGGACCAGAACUUUUGGGACGGAUCCGCGGUAGAGCAUGUAUGUUGGGACCCGAAAGAUGGUGAACUAUGCCUGAAUAGGGUGAAGCCAGAGGAAACUCUGGUGGAGGCUCGUAGCGAUUCUGACGUGCAAAUCGAUCGUCAAAUUUGGGUAUAGGGGCGAAAGACUAAUCGAACC
rnacentral:rRNA from 1 species